AUUGGGCGUAAAGCGUUUGUAGGCGGGCGAGUGUGUUUAAUGUUAAAUCUUAAAGCUCAACUUUGAAAUUGCGUUAAAAACUGCUUGUCUUGAGUAUGGUAGGGGUAAAGGGAAUUCCCAGUGUAGCGGUGAAAUGCGUAGAUAUUGGGAAGAACACUAAACAGCGAAGGCACUUUACUAGGCUAAUACUGACGCUGAGAAACGAAAGGUAAGGUAGCGAAACGGAUUAGAUACCCGUGUAGUCUUACCCGUAAACUAUGGACACUAAACGGUAAAUUUUUAAUUUACUGUUAAAGCUAACGCGUUAAGUGUCCCGCCUGGGGAGUAUGCUUGCAAAAGUGAAACUCAAAGGAAUUGACGGGGGCCCGCACAAGCGGUGGAGCAUGUGGUUUAAUUCGACGGUACACGAAGAACCUUACCAGGAUUUGACAUGCUAGAUAGUUGCUUGAAAGAGUAACGUGCCGUAAGGAAUCUAGACACAGGUGGUGCAUGGCUGUCGUCAGUUCGUGUUGUGAAAUGUUGGGUUAAGUCCCGCAACGAACGCAACCCUUGUCUUUAGUUAUUUUCUAAAGAGACUGCCUGUAAUAAACAGGAGGAAGGUAAGGAUGAGGUCAAGUCAUCAUGCCCCUUAUGUCCUGGGCUACACACGUGCUACAAUGGGAAAGACAAUGAGCUGCAAAUCUGUAAAUUUAAGCAAAUCUCUUAAACUUUCUCGUAGUUCGGAUUGUGGGCUGCAACUCGCCCACAUGAAGUUGGAAUCGCUAGUAAUCGCCAGUCAGCUAUAUGGCGGUGAAUCCGUUCCCGGGCCU
rnacentral:rRNA from 1 species